rnacentral:rRNA from 1 species
CCCUUAGAUGUUCUGGGCUGCACGCGCGCUACACUGAAGCGUUCAACGAGUAUUCACCUUGCCCGGGAGGGUUGGGUAAUCUUUUGAAAACGCUUCGUGAUGGGGAUAGAUUAUUGCAAUUAUUAAUCUUCAACGAGGAAUUCCUAGUAAGCGCGAGUCAUCAGCUCGUGCUGAUUACGUCCCUGCCCUUUGUACACACCGCCCGUCGACUCUACCGAUUGAAUGGUUCGGUGAAAACUUUGGACUGUGGCAUUGUCCUUCAUUGGACUUCGCCGUAGGAAAUUGUUUAAACCUCAUCAUUUAGAGGAAGAAUAAGUCGUAACA